UUUCCUUACGGUCAACAAGGAUGUACCUUGUUGAUUGGAAGGAAACCCUUCUGAUCAGGAAGGUCAUCUACCUCUUUGAUUGGAAGGGUUUCCUUCCAAUCAACAAGGUACAUCCUUGUUGACCGGAAGGAAA
rnacentral:miRNA from 1 species